UCCGUGUGUCGUCGUGCGUCUCAGAGAGUUUGAUCCUGGCUCAGAAUGAACGCUGGCGGCAUGCCUAACACAUGCAAGUCGAACGAAGGCUUCGGCCUUAGUGGCGCACGGGUGCGUAACGCGUGGGAAUCUGCCCUCAGGUUCGGAAUAACAGCGAGAAAUUGCUGCUAAUACCGGAUGAUAUCGCGAGAUCAAAGAUUUAUCGCCUGAGGAUGAGCCCGCGUAGGAUUAGCUAGUUGGUGUGGUAAAGGCGCACCAAGGCGACGAUCCUUAGCUGGUCUGAGAGGAUGAUCAGCCACACUGGGACUGAGACACGGCCCAGACCCCUACGGGAGGCAGCAGUGGGGAAUAUUGGACAAUGGGCGAAAGCCUGAUCCAGCAAUGCCGCGUGAGUGAUGAAGGCCUUAGGGUUGUAAAGCUCUUUUACCCGGGAUGAUAAUGACAGUACCGGGAGAAUAAGCUCCGGCUAACUCCGUG
rnacentral:rRNA from 1 species